rnacentral:rRNA from 1 species
AUUGAACGCUGGCGGCAUGCUUUACACAUGCAAGUCGAACGGUAACAGGGAUCUUGCUCCGCUGACGAGUGGCGAACGGGUGAGUAAUAUAUCGGAACGUAUCCAAGAGUGGGGGAUAACGUAGCGAAAGUUACGCUAAUACCGCAUACGAUCUAAGGAUGAAAGCAUGGGACCUUCGGGCCUUGUGCUCCUGGAGCGGCCGAUAUCUGAUUAGCUAGUUGGUGAGGUAAAGGCUCACCAAGGCGACGAUCAGUAGCUGGUCUGAGAGGACGACCAGCCACACUGGAACUGAGACACGGUCCAGACUCCUACGGGAGGCAGCAGUGGGGAAUGUUGGACAAUGGGCGCAAGCCUGAUCCAGCAAUGCCGCGUGAGUGAAGAAGGCCUUCGGGUUGUAAAGAUCUUUUGUCAGGGAAGAAACGGGAUUGGCUAAUAUCCAGUCCUAAUGACGGUACCUGAAGAAUAAGCACCGGCUAACUACGUG